rnacentral:rRNA from 1 species
GGCUUAACACAUGCAAGUCGAGGGGCAGCAUUUUAGUUUGCUUGCAAACUGAAGAUGGCGACCGGCGCACGGGUGAGUAACACGUAUCCAACCUGCCGAUAACUCCGGAAUAGCCUUUCGAAAGAAAGAUUAAUACCGGAUAGCAUACGAAUAUCGCAUGAUAUUUUUAUUAAAGAAUUUCGGUUAUCGAUGGGGAUGCGUUCCAUUAGUUUGUUGGCGGGGUAACGGCCCACCAAGACUACGAUGGAUAGGGGUUCUGAGAGGAAGGUCCCCCACAUUGGAACUGAGACACGGUCCAAACUCCUACGGGAGGCAGCAGUGAGGAAUAUUGGUCAAUGGGCGAGAGCCUGAACCAGCCAAGUAGCGUGAAGGAUGAAGGCUCUAUGGGUCGUAAACUUCUUUUAUAUGGGAAUAAAGUUUUCCACGUGUGGAAUUUUGUAUGUACCAUAUGAAUAAGGAUCGGCUAACUCCGUGCCAGCAGCCGCGGUAAUACGGAGGAUCCGAGCGUUAUCCGGAUUUAUUGGGUUUAAAGGGAGCGUAGGUGGAUUGUUAAGUCAGUUGUGAAAGUUUGCGGCUCAACCGUAAAAUUGCAGUUGAAACUGGCAGUCUUGAGUACAGUAGAGGUGGGCGGAAUUCGUGGUGUAGCGGUGAAAUGCUUAGAUAUCACGAAGAACUCCGAUUGCGAAGGCAGCUCAUUAGACUGUUACUGACACUGAUGCUCGAAAGUGUGGGUAUCAAACAGGAUUAGAUACCCUGGUAGUCCACACAGUAAACGAUGAAUACUCGCUGUUUGCGAUAUACAGUAAGCGGCCAAGCGAAAGCAUUAAGUAUUCCACCUGGGGAGUACGCCGGCAACGGUGAAACUCAAAGGAAUUGACGGGGGCCCGCACAAGCGGAGGAACAUGUGGUUUAAUUCGAUGAUACGCGAGGAACCUUACCCGGGCUUAAAUUGCAACAGAAUAUAUUGGAAACAGUAUAGCCGUAAGGCUGUUGUGGAGGUGCUGCAUGGUUGUCGUCAGCUCGUGCCGUGAGGUGUCGGCUUAAGUGCCAUAACGAGCGCAACCCUUAUCUUUAGUUACUAACAGGUCAUGCUGAGGACUCUAGAGAGACUGCCGUCGUAAGAUGUGAGGAAGGUGGGGAUGACGUCAAAUCAGCACGGCCCUUACGUCCGGGGCUACACACGUGUUACAAUGGGGGGUACAGAAGGCAGCUACACGGCGACGUGAUGCUAAUCCCAAAAACCUCUCUCAGUUCGGAUCGAAGUCUGCAACCCGACUUCGUGAAGCUGGAUUCGCUAGUAAUCGCGCAUCAGCCAUGGCGCGGUGAAUACGUUCCCGGGCCUUGUACACACCGCCCGUCAAGCCAUGAAAGCCGGGGGUACCUGAAGUACGUAACCGCAAGGAGCGUCCUAGGGUAAAACUGGUAAUUGGGGCUAAGUCAU